AAUUUAACUUUUUAUUUGUUAACUGAACAGUGGUCUUUUAAAAAUGUUCAUUUGUUUCAGGAUACAUAGACGACCCCAAUGAUGGGAAAAGCAGCACUAGUGUGUCUUUUGUUAAUCUGUCAGUUCGGAUUAUCAAAACAGUUAUGUCGGGAAUGUGCAUGCUGUAAGUAUGGAGCAUACGAUUGUGAAACAAAUACAACUUGUAAAGACGGAUGUAUAGGCGGCUAUUUUGGUGAUAAUUGCACUGACGAGUGUUUGGCAAAUUGUUAAACAUGUGCAAAUGGUAAUGAAUGUACAGAAUGUAAACGUGGUUACUAUACCAACACAUGUAAAUUAUCAUGUGGAAAGGAUGUGUAGAAAGUCUAUGUUCACAAACAUCAGGGGAAUGUACUUGUAAAUCUUCGGAAAAUAUUGUCAGAAUAGGUGUUCGAUUGGUUGUGUGGAUGGAAAGUGUAAUAAAGAACCGGUAAUUGUGUUUGGGGCUGCAAAUCUGGUUUUACUGGGGUCAAAUGUGAUACAUAUUCACAAGGAUUAUACGGGUUUUAUUGUGAUUUAAAUUGCACAGAAAAAUGUUCUUCCUGUAUCUCGGAAACAAACUGUACAGAAUGUAAAUCCGGUUUUUACGGCAAAACAUGUUCACAUUCCUGUCCAUCUGGUUGUGAUAGAAAUUGUUCUCUAAAUGGUCUAUGCUUUGGAUGCAAACCUGGAUUUGUUGAAGAAUUGUGUUACAAUACAUGCAAGAACAAAACAUAUGGUGUUUAUUGUUCCAUAUCGUGUCAUAAUAAAGACAACAAUUGCCAUGACUGUAUUGACGGAUAUGAAGGAUCGACAUGUGUUUUAGCUAUCGAAGGAUCGGAAGAAAACAGAUUACAAGUAAUUAUUGUAGCAUCUUCUGGUGCUGGUGUUGCUGUCAUCAUCCUACUGGUGAUUCUAGUAAUUUGCCUUGUAAAACGACAAAGAAGAAGAAAGUUAUCAGCUACCAGAAAAUGUGAAGAAAAUGAUUAUGCACAGGCCAUGCAAGAAACAA